rnacentral:rRNA from 1 species
ACUCUUGUCUAAAUACCAUAAAGGACCCAGAUCCCAUCUGAUCUUGACAGCUAAGAAGGGACUGCUCAGGUUAGUACUUGGAUGGGAGACCACCAAUGAAUACUAGGUGCUAUAAGCU